CGUGCCUAAGUUUCUCUGUGAAUCUAGCCCGAAGAGUUGUCUCUGGCUCCAUGCCAACUGAGUUUGAGUAGGUCAUGUCCUAUAAUUGUAAAGUUGAGAUCCUGAGACUUCACCUUUGAACACUCCUGAAAUUCCAUGGUAUAAUUGGGCAGGGAAUGGCUUUCCCAUCCCCAGAGAACUUUUGAGAUGUCUAAUAAAUAGAAAAAAAUUCCCACCCCAAACUGGAACACAACCCCCGUUUCAAUUUUCACAAAUUAAUCAUCCAAAAAAAUCUUGGAUUGAGUCCAUCAAAAUGUUUUUGUUUUUUAUUUUGACCUUCCUAAUCUGGUUUAGUACAAAUUAACUAGCAUGUAAAACAAUUUUAUUUCAUUUUGAAAAAGUCCAAACAGGGCACUUUGGCAAUUUCAGAAAAUGUUUCAACGCUUUCUUUCUUUUUUUUUUUUUUUUUUUCUCCAAAUUGGGAGAUUCAGUGAAACUGAUCUUAACAUCUAAACAGUUUCAGUUUAGAUUAAUCCACAGCAUUUUCUGACAGAGUUUUUAAUCAGAAAAUUCUGACAAGUUCUAUGCUCUGGUUCACAUCAUGAGAACUUCCACCUGAUCUUACUUUCCAUUGACACUGUUUGCAUCUGACAUGAAAUAUGCAAGAUUUAUCAUUUUAGCUUUCAGUGCUACAAGUGUAUCUUGUGUGUUCUAUUUUUAUCUUAAACUGAUAUAUACACAGUGGAUUGCUUUUAGUUUACUCUGCACAAUAGUGUGUCUUAAUUGAUUUAUUUAGCUUUUAAAGCACUGAAAUAUAUUUUUUCCCCAGACAUUGAGCAGUGUGUCUUAAUAUCUGGAUUACUAACUGUUUUUAUUUAUUUUUUUAUUUUUUUCUGGUAGAAUUUCCAGGUUAGCAUCUGGUAUCUAGUGAGUGUGAAGAAAGUGAAUUUGGCUAAUCUCUGAGAGACUUCAUGGCGGGGGAAGAGUCUAAGCAAAACAGGAACUCUUGUUGUUUUUGUUUUGCCAAAUAUUAAUUUACUUUGUUAGUGGAACUGAUACAUCAGAUGCUGAAACUCUUUCAUGGGUUGUAAUCAGGCCCUCUGAAUAAGUAACUUCCUUGGAUAAGGAGGUAAUCAUGCAUAGCUCUAACAAUUCUGAAAACAUAACUAGCUUUUUGGACUUCAGCAGAAAAUCUUUUGAAAUGGAGAUAAAAAAAACAACCCAAAUGCUUUCACACCUCUCCUUGCUAAAUUUCACUAGGGAGGCUUGCAAACUUUUCCCUAAAUGAUCAGAUGUGAAUAAUCUCCCACAGGAUUUAUUUUAUUUGCCCUCUGCUCUGCAAGGGUUGCAGGCCUUUUUAUAUUCCAUGGGCCCUGUCUCCUGCUUCACCUCUCUUCUGUUAUGUAAACAGAGAUCAGCCCAGGCAUUGAGAGAGUGACUGGAAUGGGAGGUGACAGCACCGCUGACAUUUACAGCAGAAUGACCUUUACUAGAAUUGUUUUUAAGAGUAGGACUCUAACGAGAAUAAUGACAGAGAGGGGACAGUUAUCUAGGCUGUGAUUCUUUUUUUUUUAAUUAUUAUUAUUAAAUGGCUGAAAACCAAUAUAGCCAUUUAGGUUGGUAAGUUAAACUCCCCCUCUUAAAGUGGGGAUGAAUGUCAUCCCACCUGUCUGAGCAUAUUGAUGCUCAUGGCAAUUUCUGUGUCCUGUGGUUUGUCAGUCUGUUUCUUUGUGACCAUGUGAGUAGCUCAAGACUGACUCCUCGCUCUGUGCGCUUGACAAGCGUCCCCACGUGAGCCAAACUGAGGUGAUAACUGGUUAAGGACUGGAUAGUUAACCAAGUAACAAGGUGAUCAGUUUGUCAGCUGAGGACAGGAAGAGGAAGGAGGAGAGAAAGGAAGGGCUAGAGAAGCCCAGGACCUCAGGGAGUGCGAUCUCCACCCCCUCCAUACCUCAGGAAAAGAUAAAAACCUAUGUUGUGGAGGGACAAGAAUUUGUACAGCACACUGUAAAUAAAUCACUUGGUGAUGAGCUUACCAUUGGUUCAGUAACCUCACACCUCUCUGACAAUUAUUGCAAAGCAUGGUGAUGAGUUUGUGGGAACUGGAACCGGAACCCCAUCACAUUCCUCUCAUAGAAAGGCCAGCAAAUUUUCUUUGAUGAUAAAGAGAUUGCGCUACAGUACAGUGUGUGAGGGUAUUCAUCAAGGUUUGAACCCAGGACAUUCUGCUCCAUAACACAACUCUCUGCUUGAGGUACAGGAGCAGCUCUCUGUGGACCAGCCCCUAAAGGGGACACAGCAGAACUUUUUGUCAGUGAGUAAUCUAACUAUUUUUGAGACCUCAGGGGAAUGCUGGGUAUCAGGAUUCCUAGAUUCUGCUGUUGGCUUUGGGAAGUGAGUAUCAUCUACUGAUUAGAGCUGGGGUUACAGAUAGCAUAGCCAAGCACUUAGAUUUGGCAAAUUAGACAUCUAGUAAUGAAAAACGCUAUAUGUAAAUAUGCUCUGUGAUUGGUGUAUAUGAUCUGUCCCUCUCCUCUCAUCCCACCUAUCCUGCCCCAUGCCAAAUAACCAUUAAGGAGACAGCAUUUAUAACAUACUUCAAACCUGGAAAAAUUCCAUAUCUGAACUGGCUGAUUGGAAUGGGUUACACAUUUCCUGAAUUGCAUCUAUUCCAUCCCUUGCUUUUCAUGCAUAGAUCCUUUAGGCUUCCUGCUCUUGUAGACCACUUGCAGAACUGAUCUCUAAUCCACAGGUUCAUGUCUCUUGGCACAUCUUAAUGGACAGAUUCUAAAAAUAUUUUCCUAUCUUAGAAUAGCUAAAAUGCUAUAUUAGAAAAUGGUAAAAAGGAAAUCUAUUAUUUACAGCUCAGCUAGAAUGAAUUAAUCACUUAGAAGGAUGAGUGUGUAAGCAACAUGACACUUGAUGCUGGCCCAUUAGCACGACAUCAGGAUGCUGCUAUUGACCUGAUUGUAAAAGGUUAGACACAUCAAAGUUGAGUUAUUUGAAAAUUUUGGCACAGAGAGGAGCAAUUCUAGACCUGGUGGAAAUUGGUACAACUGUGCUGACUGCAAUGGAAGUUUAACCCACAUACUCCAGAGCUGAAUUUGGCUCUGUGUUUUUAAAAUUCUGUAUCCCUGGUUUUUUUAAAUUAAACAAAAUGAACUUGUCUUUAAACGCUAUUGUAGGGAGAGAAAUGAGUCUGCAAUUUCACUGCCUCUGAUCCUAUAUUGCAAUAGCAAGUGAGUAACAACAUCAGUGCUCUUCAAAAGGGGUUAUAACUUUGCUCCCCAAAAAAGUAACAUGUGAAAUAGAGGGUAAGGUGGUUAGUACUGCUAAAAUAUUAGGUAAUGGAAGGUAUUUAUUUACUUAUUCUUUACAGUGAACAAUCUCUCCAGGGCUAGGCUUGUGGGUGGGCUGGGGACAGCUGAUCUUAGGAACUGUAUCUGACCAGCGCAGGCAGGGCUAUGAUCACCAGUAAGCUCCUGAGGCCUGAAUCUAGGCUGCCAUUUUGGAGAGGCACCUGUAUAUGUGGGGUGAGGAAUCUUGGUGAGGAGGGGAUGUCAGGUGACCAGUGGGUUGGCUAACAUGUUUGACAGCUGCAGCUAAGCCAGCACUGGGAGGAAAAUUGGAGCUGCAUGGUGGUGGAGCAGCAUGUCAGUGAGCAGGAGUAAAGUGGCAGGAAAGCAGGAAUGAUUGAUCAGAGAGGAACUGAAGAGCUGACUCCAUUACAAGAAAGGAUUAUUGCAAGGUAUGUUCACUGCUGUCCAAUGAUCUCUGGCCUGGUGGGGCUAAAUAGUUAAGAUCCAGAGGAAGUGGUGCACAGCAUCAUAAGGCCUGUGGUGGUUGCUUGCUGGUUUACUCUGGUCCUAGGUGUACUGAAU